rnacentral:rRNA from 1 species
ACUACUUAGUGACCGAUAGCGCAUAGUACUGUGAAGGAAAGGUGAAAAGGACCCCGGGAGGGGAGUGAAAGAGAACCUGAAACCCUGUGUUUACAAGCUGUGGAAGUUCUUUAAAUGAACAACCGCGUACUUUUUGUAGAACGGUCCGGCGAGUUGCGGAUACUGGCAAGGUUAAGCACUUAAGGUGCGGAGCCGAAGGGAUACCAAGUCUUAACAGGGCGUUAAGUCAGUAUACGCAGACCCGAAACCGGGUGAUCUAUCCAUGUCCAGGUUGAAGUUGUCGUAAAAGACAAUGGAGGACCGAAGCCACAUCCGUUGAAAAGGGUGGGCAUGAGGUGUGGAUAGGGGAGAAAUUCCAAUCGAACCCGGAGAUAGCUGGUUCUCCUCGAAAUAGCUUUAGGGCUAGCCUCGAUUUAGUCUUAUGGAGGUAGAGCACUGAAUUUCCGCGGGGGCGUCAAAGCUUACCAAAGAAUAUCAAACUCCGAAUGCCAUGUAGAUGAUGAUCGGGAGUCAGACUGCACGAGAUAAGUUGGGCAGUCAAAAGGGAAAGAGCCCAGACCACCGGCUAAGGUCCCAAAGUGCGUGUUAAGUGGAAAAGGAUGUGGGAAUUCGAAGACAACUAGGAUGUUGGCUCAGAAGCAGCCAUACAUUCAAAGAGUGCGUAACAGCUCACUAGUCGAGAGUUCCUGCGCCGAAAAUGUCCGGGGCUGAAACACGACACCGAAGCCGUGGACUCGCAAUGCGAGUGGUAGAGGAGCAUUCUUAAAACCGACGAAGCUGUACCGGAAGGAGCAGUGGAGGGAUAAGAAGAGAGAAUGCCGGAAUGAGUAGCGAGAGAAAGGUGGGAAUCCUUUCGGCCGAAUAUCUAAGGUUUCCAGAGUAAAGCUGAUCUGCUCUGGGUAAGUCGGGGCCUAAGCACAGGUCGCAAGACGUAAGCGAUGGAUAACAGGUUUAGAUUCCUGUACCACGCAUUAUCAGAACUGUAGGGACGCAUGUGGAAAGCACGGGCCGGGAAUGGAAAGACCGGUACAAGCGGGGUAGGUGUACGAUAGGCAAAUCCGUCGUAUAAUCCGAUGACGUGAUGUGGAGCGAAAUAAAGUAGUGAAGCGUGUGAGCCAUGUGCCGAGAAAAGCUGCUAUUGUGUAAUGCGUGCCCGUACCGUAAACCGACACAGGUGGAUGAGGAGAGAAUCCUAAGGCCGACGGAAGAAGCAUUGUUAAGGAAUUCGGCAAAAUGACCCCGUAACUUCGGGAGAAGGGGUGCCUGCGAGAGCAGGCCGCAGAGAAUAGGCUCAAGCAACUGUUUAGCAAAAACACAGGUCUAUGCGAAACCGAAAGGUGAAGUAUAUGGGCUGACGCCUGCCCGGUGCUGGAAGGUUAAGAGGAGAGGUUAGCGUAAGCGAAGCUUUGAAUUUAAGCCCCAGUAAACGGCGGCCGUAACUAUAACGGUCCUAAGGUAGCGAAAUUCCUUGUCGGGUAAGUUCCGACCCGCACGAAAGGCGUAAUGAUUUGAGCACUGUCUCGACAAUGCAUCCGGUGAAAUUGAAGUACCAGUGAAGAUGCUGGUUACCCGCGCCAGGACGGAAAGACCCCAUGGAGCUUUACUCCAGUUUGAUACUGGGAUUCGGUACUGCAUGUACAGGAUAGGUGGGAGACAAAGAAGGAUGGACGCCAGUCUGUCCGGAGUCGCUGUUGGGAUACCACCCCUGUAGUACUGGGUUUCUAACCAGUUGCCAUGAACUGGCAAUGGGACAAUGUCAGGCGGGGAGUUUGACUGGGGCGGUCGCCUCCGAAAGGGUAUCGGAGGCGCUCAAAGGUUCCCUCAGAAUGGUUGGAAACCAUUUGAAGAGUGCAAAGGCAGAAGGGAGCUUGACUGCGACACCGACGGGUGGAGCAGGUACGAAAGUAGGACUUAGUGAUCCGGUGGUAUAAAGUGGGAUUGCCAU